AGAUCUUGGAGUUUCUUCUGGUCCUGCAAUCAAUUGGAAAGUUGAACUGUAAGAACAAAGAAGCAGUAGAAGUCACUUUUGGAUACGUAAGAGAUAAGAUCUUGACAAGAAUAUAUCCUAUUAUUAAUCUAAAUACAGUUUACAGGUUGUUAGUUGGAACCUGAAAUUAAAAGAAAAAGAAGAAGAAAAAACAAGUUAUGUUUUUUUCUAUUUACAAGAAACAAUAUAGCACAUGAAACAUCAUGGGAAUCCUUAACGACAGGAAUUCAUCAGAACAACUUAAUCUCUUGUCAUUUACCCUGUAUCUCCUUUUUUCCUCUU
rnacentral:misc_RNA from 1 species